rnacentral:lncRNA from 1 species
CUGAACAGGGUGUCCAGAGCCCUCCAGUCAGCAUUCUCGAAAAUCCCUCAAGGUUAGGGGGUGGGUGUCACUCACCAAAGGACCAUGAAUAAUGGAGGUCUGGCCCUCUCAGGGCAGCGCUGACAGGAAAGCCGCCCCACCGGCUCAGCGGCAUAUUUGUGUGGCUUCUGGUUCUGAGGCAACCGCCAGCUGCCAAGACAUGUGCGGAAGACCCCAGAUGCUUUCCAAGUGCCCCUGUCACAGCAGAGCUUGGAUGAGCAAGAGGAGGUGGAGCGUCUGAACUUUUCCAGGGGCCACUUGAGGAAGGGGUUUCUGGACAUGGCUGGUUUGGAGCAAGGCUUUGAGAAGGAGGACUUCGGGCACAUGACGGAUUUGGGCCACGAUGACGCCGGGCUGCCUCUCACUAGCCUCUCUGUGAUGAUCUCCAACAGUAACUGGUGAAACCCAAAACAGUAAAUACUGACAAGGGGAUAGUAAUCAUGACUGUUUUACAUUCACUGAACUCGCUGCUGCGGGGGUGGGGACUAGAUGGUAAGUAAUGCGCAAAGACUGUAAAUCACCCCAAAAACCGAUAGAUCCAGCAGGAGAUUGACCCAACUUCCUGGCCCUGGUGCUGGUGUCUCCGGGGCCAUCAUGGGGGACAGCGCUGGGACUCCCAGCGUUGCUCUGGUGCAGGAUUAGGGGUAACCCCACCCCAGGAGACCGGGCCUGGGUUCCAGCCUAGCUGUGCCAACUAGUUGCUGUGCUACUCCGGGCUGGUCACUCCCCUGCUCUGGGCUCCUUCUCUUUCAGCUGUGAAUUGGUGGACUCUGAUAUUCUACAAUUCCAAGUCUCCUCUGCCCUACUCAGAUUCUUUAAGAUUUCUGAGCCUUUUAGGAAGAGGCUGGCCCUGUCCAGACUCCUAGGAGGGCUCAAGCAUGGGGAGGGAAUAGGGUGGAUGAGGGUCCUGCCAAGGCUCCUGCCUGGCCGGUGACAGGAAGGCAGUGGAUCAUGGCACAGCGAGCGAUUUUACUGGAAAGAUGAAAGGAAAUUGCAUCUUUAAUAAUUCACCGGCUGGUUUGAAGGGAGGCAGGUCGGCGGGGCUGUGGAGCCGCCAGGCUAUCCCAGCCUCUGUUCCUGGAAAUCCUCUGGCUCCAGAACCUGCCCGAGAGACCCGGGGCCCUCCAUCUCCUCCUGGCCCAAGGACAGCAUGAGCCGACAGAGUCUAGACCAGGGUAAGAGGUUAAAACACAGCCAUCCCGGGAACCCACUAAAUUGAUAUCCCCAGCAAAAAGGGAGCCAAAAUAAUCAAUACAGCAGCAGCCCAGGAAAGUGGCCAAGCUCGGGCCCCAGCCUGAUGGAGUCACUGCAGUAAAGGAGGGUCGGGCUCUGGCCAGCUGCCUGGGGCUUUGGUGAGCAGACUGGCAGCAGAGGCUCUAACUGGAGUCACCAGGAGUGGAAGGGCACCUGGAGGUAGGCAGGGGCCAUCAAUACUGUCCAGUUAGUGGGGUGGGUGCGGGGGGC